GUAAUCAAUUGUUUUCUCAUAUAAUAAAGCACUUCUUAAACAACUGCGCGAAGGUGGAUGCACAGCAGAAUGGUGGGGAUAGAAAUGUUCUUGAAUUGAGUGAAGAAACAGCUUUUGAAUCGAGUUCUUGACUGUAGGGAGAAAUAAGGAACAAGGGGUGUAAACUACAAAUAUCUUUACCAUGCAAUGGUCAUACAAAGUCUGUUCUAAAUAAAUGUUAUUACAUGUAGAAUGAUUUGUUCGCUCUCAAAUAAAAAGGAAAACAAAACAAGUGUAAAUUGAAAUAAUUAAAUGGCGCAUAUAGCUAACAGAU